rnacentral:lncRNA from 1 species
CUUCUGAAGUUUAGAAAAUUUGAGUAAGAUGGAAUGAGGAAAGGAAUGCUAGAUUAAAAGCAAUGCGCUUGGCCUCCGUGAAAAAACGAUCCGAAGAAUCUGAGGAUGGAAGGGAUGCUAAAUUACAAAGAAUGACCUCUAUUACGGUAAGCAGGAGAAUAUAUGCUCAAAAGCAGCAUCUGUGCAGCUACAUCACUGGGAUUACAAGCAAAAUUCUGCUUUUACCUAUAAUCUAUCUACAUUAUACGAAUCAGACAUUGAUGUAGUUAGUGAUUGGGUCCAUGUCAACAAUAUGUUGUCACUGCAAAGCUCUUACAAGUUAGAUUUAAAGAUGAAAG